CCGGCGCCGUUUGGGGGAUUUGGGUUUCCCGCAGGCUCACGGGGCUUCGCCGCUGCGACCGUGACAAAGCGGAUUUGUACCUUCCAGCACCCGGCACCGCAUGAGUGCCCUUUUAAUAGCACACCGUUGUGUAUUCACACCCUGCCGCCCCACUCCGAAAUUCAAAACUUUGGCAACCCAAACUGCUGAGCGAGGAUCGUGGCUGUGCUGUACGAGGCUGUGUGCCACUGUCAGCAUAACUUGUUUCCAGGCUGCAUGGAGGCAGGGCUCACUGUGUUGUCUGACAAACUGGCUUCAUCCUGAAAGCUGGAGGUGAUCCAGGGAACCAUUUUGCAAGGAGCAUAACCUUGAAAGUGCAUGCCAAAAG
rnacentral:lncRNA from 1 species